UAAAAUCAUGAGGAAAUCUAA
rnacentral:piRNA from 1 species